rnacentral:tRNA from 1 species
GCCUUUGUAGCUCAAGUGGUAGAGCGUUUACCUUGUAAGUAAGGGGUUGUAGGUUCAAAUCCUAUUAAGGGCA